GUCGGUGACCGCAAGGAGCUGCCUAGGGUAAAACUGGUAACUAGGGCUAAGUCGUAACAAGGUAGCCGUACCGGAAGG
rnacentral:rRNA from 1 species